UAUGUCCACAGCACAUUGAAACACUGGUUCUUGUAUGACCACUGAAGUUAAGCAACACUGAGCCUGAUCAGUACCUAGAUGAGUAACCGCUUGGGAAUAUCAGGCACUGUAAG